rnacentral:rRNA from 1 species
GAGUUUGAUCAUGGCUCAGGACGAACGCUGGCGGCGUGCCUAAUACAUGCAAGUAGAACGCUGAAGAGAGGAGCUUGCUCUUCUUGGAUGAGUUGCGAACGGGUGAGUAACGCGUAGGUAACCUGCCUUGUAGCGGGGGAUAACUAUUGGAAACGAUAGCUAAUACCGCAUAACAAUGGAUGACACAUGUCAUUUAUUUGAAAGGGGCAAUUGCUCCACUACAAGAUGGACCUGCGUUGUAUUAGCUAGUAGGUGAGGUAAUGGCUCACCUAGGCGACGAUACAUAGCCGACCUGAGAGGGUGAUCGGCCACACUGGGACUGAGACACGGCCCAGACUCCUACGGGAGGCAGCAGUAGGGAAUCUUCGGCAAUGGGGGCAACCCUGACCGAGCAACGCCGCGUGAGUGAAGAAGGUUUUCGGAUCGUAAAGCUCUGUUGUAAGUCAAGAACGGGUGUGAGAGUGGAAAGUUCACACUGUGACGGUAGCUUACCAGAAAGGGACGGCUAACUACGUGCCAGCAGCCGCGGUAAUACGUAGGUCCCGAGCGUUGUCCGGAUUUAUUGGGCGUAAAGCGAGCGCAGGCGGUUUGAUAAGUCUGAAGUUAAAGGCUGUGGCUCAACCAUAGUUCGCUUUGGAAACUGUCAAACUUGAGUGCAGAAGGGGAGAGUGGAAUUCCAUGUGUAGCGGUGAAAUGCGUAGAUAUAUGGAGGAACACCGGUGGCGAAAGCGGCUCUCUGGUCUGUAACUGACGCUGAGGCUCGAAAGCGUGGGGAGCGAACAGGAUUAGAUACCCUGGUAGUCCACGCCGUAAACGAUGAGUGCUAGGUGUUGGAUCCUUUCCGGGAUUCAGUGCCGCAGCUAACGCAUUAAGCACUCCGCCUGGGGAGUACGACCGCAAGGUUGAAACUCAAAGGAAUUGACGGGGGCCCGCACAAGCGGUGGAGCAUGUGGUUUAAUUCGAAGCAACGCGAAGAACCUUACCAGGUCUUGACAUCCCGAUGCUAUUUCUAGAGAUAGAAAGUUACUUCGGUACAUCGGUGACAGGUGGUGCAUGGUUGUCGUCAGCUCGUGUCGUGAGAUGUUGGGUUAAGUCCCGCAACGAGCGCAACCCCUAUUGUUAGUUGCCAUCAUUCAGUUGGGCACUCUAGCGAGACUGCCGGUAAUAAACCGGAGGAAGGUGGGGAUGACGUCAAAUCAUCAUGCCCCUUAUGACCUGGGCUACACACGUGCUACAAUGGUUGGUACAACGAGUUGCGAGUCGGUGACGGCGAGCUAAUCUCUUAAAGCCAAUCUCAGUUCGGAUUGUAGGCUGCAACUCGCCUACAUGAAGUCGGAAUCGCUAGUAAUCGCGGAUCAGCACGCCGCGGUGAAUACGUUCCCGGGCCUUGUACACACCGCCCGUCACACCACGAGAGUUUGUAACACCCGAAGUCGGUGAGGUAACCUUUUGGAGCCAGCCGCCUAAGGUGGGACAGAUGAUUGGGGUGAAGUCGUAACAAGGUAACCGUA